CUUCUGAUCUGUUAGAAAAAAAAAAAAAAAAAAAGGUUCACCCAGGGCGAAGCUUGUCCAUUGCACUCCGGCCAUGCUGACCCCUGCGAAUUCCCCAAAUGCGGGAAUCUCGACUGCAUAAUUUAUGGUAGUGGGGGACUGCGUUCACGCUCUCCCUUG
ensembl:snRNA U1 U1 spliceosomal RNA